AUAAGAGGCAUGAUCUGCAGCUGGAUGAAUCCAGAUUUCCAGCAUCUAUUUCAGACUAUUCACCCCCCUAUCUCCUCAUCUUGCAGGUAUACAGUAUGUAACAUGCCAGGCUCUAACGUGCUCAGAGCCCAACAAAAACGACCCCUUCCCUGGAUACAUUGACAUUAGCUCACUGGUGGUCCAAGAUMACUAUAUGUUUAUACAGGUUACUACAGCAGGACAGGACAGCUACUAUGUGUCCUACCAGAGGGAUCCAUUCCUCAAAAUCAAACUGCCCAAAUAUUCUCUGCCUAAGCUCGUUACAAACCCAACCAAUAAGAUCCAUCAUCYCGGCGGUGCAGGAGUGGAACCAGAAUGACACAUACAACCUGUACCUCUCCGACACCCUGGCCAUGGAGAACGUCAAGACCACCCAGAUGUUGGACCUG